rnacentral:lncRNA from 1 species
CUUAAUUAAAUUUAAGAGGUUUCAGCUGUAGGCUUUAAUUUUAAUAUUGUGUCAAGACACUCUGCAUUUUAACUCUAUGCCAAUCUUUCUAUUUUAUUUUAUUUCUUCAGGAUCAUGUCUGCAUAGACUGUCUUCAAGAUUUUAUCCAAAAAUUUGCAAGACUGCAGAUUUUUCUUCUAGGAAAGUUCAGGUGUGAAAUACGCUGGAAUUUCCGAUGGGAUGAACUUCCUCUUCCAAUGGAGAAGGGCCAUGGUGACCAUUGGGAAAUGAAAGGAGAUGGACAGAGCAAUGUGCCUGUAUGACAGCCUUAUUUCGGUAAAAUGUGGGCUCACUGGAGGUGACCAAGAAGUUGUCAGCAGGUCUUACUCUGCUAUUGAAGUUGCAUGCUUCAGUCAAGACAAGAAUUAG